rnacentral:tRNA from 1 species
GGGGAUGUGGCUUAGUGGUAGAGUGCUUGCCUAGCAUGCAGGAAACCCUGGGUUCAAUUCCUCAGUACCA